UACGGAGGGUGCAAGCGUUAAUCGGAAUUACUGGGCGUAAAGCGUGCGCAGGCGGUUUGUUAAGUCUGUUGUGAAAUCCCCGAGCUCAACUUGGGAAUUGCAAUGGAUACUGGCAGGCUGGAGUAUGGUAGAGGAAGGUGGAAUUCCCGGUGUAGCAGUGAAAUGCGUAGAGAUCGGGAGGAACACCAGUGGCGAAGGCGGCGAUCUGGACGAUGACUGACGCUGAGACGCGAAAGCGUGGGGAGCAAACAGG
rnacentral:rRNA from 1 species